rnacentral:rRNA from 1 species
GAUGAACGCUGGCGGCGUGCCUAAUACAUGCAAGUCGAGCGAACGGAUGAGAAGCUUGCUUCUCUGAUGUUAGUGGCGGACGGGUGAGUAACACGUGGAUAACCUACCUAUAAGACUGGGAUAACUUCGGGAAACCGGAGCUAAUACCGGAUAAUAUUUUGAACCGCAUGGUUCAAAAGUGAAAGACGGUCUUGCUGUCACUUAUAGAUGGAUCCGCGCUGCAUUAGCUAGUUGGUAAGGUAACGGCUUACCAAGGCAACGAUGCAUAGCCGACCUGAGAGGGUGAUCGGCCACACUGGAACUGAGACACGGUCCAGACUCCUACGGGAGGCAGCAGUAGGGAAUCUUCCGCAAUGGGCGAAAGCCUGACGGAGCAACGCCGCGUGAGUGAUGAAGGUCUUCGGAUCGUAAAACUCUGUUAUUAGGGAAGAACAUAUGUGUAAGUAACUGUGCACAUCUUGACGGUACCUAAUCAGAAAGCCACGGCUAACUACGUG